UUUUAAGUCUUUUAAGCUUAGUUACUGAAGCAAGAGGAGGAGCCUGGUCAUGAAAACAGUGAAAGUAAUAUAAAGAGAAGAGAUGCUGUAACAGCAGUCAGAGGAAAACAUCGCAAACAUGGUACACCCUUUAAUGAUUGGCAUUAUUACGAUUAAUACGUCCAUGACCAUUGCAUACUGGAUCUUUAUUCUGACAGAAGCUUUUCAUAAAAAGACUGAAGAUGAAGACAACCCGGCAUAGCCAACAUAACCCGUGUGUAGUUAAAUAUGGAAAAGUUUAGGGUCGAGUGUUUUUAUACAUGUGAUUUAUUUAUUUAUUUUGAAAACCCCAGGAAUGUUUGCCUUUUAAAUCAUCCGAAUUGAUCCAGUCUCUCGCAAUACAAAUUUUCCAGGGACUGCUUUACCUCCAGGUAUGAAUGCAGAGGGUGGGUGUUCAGUAAUACAGAAUCAGAUUCAUUCAUACAGAGGAUCAUAGCUGGAAAUCUGGGUCACUUGCUCAGACAUAAACAAGAUCUUCGUCUGUCAGUCAGAGCACAAUAUUUAUACAUUAUCAGCCUCUAGUUUUGAAGAACAUACCAACUGAAACUAGAAAUGCAUCCUAUAUUGAUCAGCAUAGUGACCGCCAACUCGACUUUAACCAUUAUCUACUGGAACUUUCUUGUGUCUCAGAUUUUCUCCAAGAAUAUCAAGGAUGAGCCAGAGCCAGAACCAGAGGAAGUUCCUGUCUGAACCGAUGAAGGUCUUGACCCUGAGCCUGGUCAUGAUGAAGAGGAAGACCCAUCCAAAUGACUGUGAGAGGAGGAAGAGGGAUGAUGGAAAGAAAACAAGAAUAAAGACUCAACAGAUGUGACCCAGACGAGGACCAGAAGAGAAAUGUUCCAUGAUCAAAACCACUAUUGUACUCUUUUCCACCAGUCAUACAAAGCUUUAAAUGUGUUUAAAAGAUGUAAGGGAGGAUGUGUUUUUGUAAAGAGAAUUUUUCGUAGAAAUCUUAAAAUUCUUGUCAUAGAUAUUGUAAAAAUAUUAACUAUAGUUUGCUCAGUUUAGAAUGUUUUUAAUUUCUUUAGCUAGUAAACUGGCAUGUAUCGUUUUCUUAGUAAUAAAUAAAUAAAUAAUAGAGUACAGGGUGUCAUUGUGAUGCUUGUCCAUUAGCUCUUUGACCCCGCAUAUAGUCCACUUUGUUAACCUAAAAGUUGCUGCCUUAAGAUAUUUAGAUCAUUUUAAAAUAUUUGAAUAAAACAUAAUGAAAUAUGUCAGAAACUGAUUUAAUGUAAUUAACAAAUGUUUUCAUCUGAAAUCUUUUCCAGACACAAGCUGACACAAUUCACAUUUGUCUUUAUUGACGUCAUUGGUUCAGUUGCACUACACAGUACAUCAGGUGUUAAAAUGCAGACAGUUAGAAAAAAGACUAUAUCCAGGCUCAAGUCGCCGCCUCAUGGCACUAAGAACAUUAGCUUGAUUGUCUUCUGCUGUUAAAGCACUCCAGGAAGGAAAUACACAGGAAGACCAGCCAUGGCUACUACAGAAGAAAUAAUUGAUAUUACUGUGUGGCACACUGUUGUGAUUCUACAAAUAUGCAACAGGAAGGAAAGCAACUGAGGAGCACUGAACUCAGAAAGAGAGAGAGGGGGAAAGGGUGAGAGACGAUUCAAGAUGAUGGAUGAUCGACAUGUCAAUGAAACAAAGCUUUGCAAGUGAUGAACAAACGCUUGUGAAGUUGUGGUGCCUAAAGAGACACAUUGGAAAAAUAUAUAUGGAUUUAGAGCAAAAGACAGAUAAUCCUAUCAAGGAGGAUGUUUAUUUCAAGGACUACAAACCUGUAGAAAAAGAUCUGAUCACUUUACCCAAGCUUGUCAUAUACCUGCUGCUGGCUGUAGGUGUGACCGGGAUCACCCUGUUCGCCAUCAUUAGACACCUCAUCAAAGAUCUCCUCCAUGAUCUGGCUGAUUUCCUGUUUGGAGAGCAGCCGGUGGAAGAGCAUGAGAGUCCCUGGGAAAGAUGGGAAAAGUUCAAGGCAAGCUGGAUUCCAGAGACAAGCAUUGAGUUGGAGGAAAUGGUGAAGGAAAGUGAGAUCCAACAUCUCAAAGAAGGCACAGUAGACCUACCAUCUCCAUGGAUUAUAAAUUGUAAACUUCAGCACACUCCUUAUCAAAUCUCAAAAAAGCAAUUGUGUUCCCCAAAAAGGAACAUUAACUUUUUUUCUGAUUUUGUGUCAUUAAUAUAUUUUUAUAAAUAGAAAACCAUUCAACAUAGCAACAU